CUUGAGGAAAAAUGUUGAAAUUGGUAAUCAUAUAUCAAUAGUGGGGGGGAAAUUUUGAAGGUAAGCUUUCCCAACCCUGCUGCUUUCUCAGCAGUCUUUUUGCUCCUCUGUUUUGUAAACUGUGCGCAUGUCCCUUUAAAGAGAGAAUAGCCCCCAACAGGGUGUAAAUGUGGCAUGGCUUUUAUGGCUUAUGUAGAUUUGCAGUGCCCUUGUAAGCCAUUUUUUUUUACUCUAAAUGGUCAGGCAGUUUGAUCCAGGAUCUGUUCUGCUGGGCACUCUUGCUUUAAAAGACUCUCAGCGGUCUGUGUGUCCAUCUGACGUAUAAUCUUUGUAUUGUCCUACACUGUAUCAAAAGAUGUUUGGCAUCGCUCUUGAUGAUGUCCUGUGAAGAGCGUCAUUGUUGGUCGAAUCAGAGAUUUUGAGGCAUUCGGGACUAAAUGGAAAGAGAAGGUCGCUGGUGGUCUGACACAAAGAUUUGGACACACUGUGGUGAAAUGAAUGAUGAGUUUAUUAAAUGUAAUACAACUCUUGCCACAGGUCACUUGGGGUAAGAUUUAGCAAAUGUAAUUUUUCUUUUUCUUUUUUUUUUGUGGAAGCCUAAAAAUAUAGCUUCUCUGCUCAUUUCUCUGGGAGUUCUCUCUCUGUAUUAUUCAUUCCCUUGAUUCUCGCACACAUGCACGAUGGAUUUUAUACUGUGCAUUUCAUGUCUUUUCCCUUUAGUUCUGUGUUGAUUUCAAUACUUUGUAAUGUGAAGAGAGGGGGGUUUGUUCCUUUUGUGAUUUCCCAUGAAAACAGCACUAAUCUCCAGGUUGGAGUUUUUGAUACAUGGAGUUGUUUUAGCUGGCACAAGGUUACACUGUACUGUAUAUAGGCUUAUCUGUUUGGCAGUGACAUGACACGAUAACAGUUCAAUUUAUGAAAGUUUUCCUGAAGGAGCUGCUGAAACGUCGCUCUCCUGUGUGACUCUGUGACAAUGUACAGUACGACUGAGUGUAGCUUCCGGUGUACAUACAGUAGAUACUUCAAUCAAACCUUGAAAAUGUAACUUUGCCUGCAUAACUUAUUUUACUGUCUUGCAACAAAGAGAAACCAAAAAAGAAACAAGAGACAACUGAUAUUGAAUGUAUCAUGACUGUUGCUCAAACCUAUUUAAGAGAAAAAGCACAUGGCAAAUUUCAAAAGUUCCUUCUUUUUGUGUUUGAACCUGUUACAUAAAAACCCACAGUGCAGUCACGCAAAUAUUUACAUUGGGAUUCAGCAGAAAAGGCGGUCUACAGAAGUUUCAUGCGCACACUUCGUUCUGAUUCCAAAUGUUGUCACCUGUUUAUGAGUCAGAUAUGACUUUGUACUUCAUAACCUGAACAUAUAAGAUGGAAUAGCUUCAUCACAGCUGUUAUGUUGAACCUGACCUUCCGCGUUAGGCAACCCUCCACGUCAAUAUUUGGAAUAAACUGUUUAUUUGUGUAUAUAUAGGGAUAUUAAUUCAUGAGGUGCAUACAAACAGCAUAUUCCAAAAAAGAGGCAUUGACUGACAUAUGGGCUUUUACUAUUACCCACAAUGCUGUUAAAUCUGGUAUUAGAAUCACAACACCGCCUAAAUUUUCAUGUAACGUGCUUUUUUGAUGAGUUUUAGCUUCCUUAUGUUUUUUAUGUUCGCUUCAGUGAUCAUUUAAGUUACGCAUUGUGAUUAAACAGUCUCUUCAACAAACAGCAUUGCCUGAGAAACAUGCUAUUCAACAUUUAUAACUUUAGCUAGCAGAUGCUAACAGAUAACAUUCCAAGCAUAAUGCAUACUUUUAAAGGUUAAGAAGCACUUUUCAUUACUGAUACUCUGAUUUCCGACGCUCACGAACGCAACUUCGUUGUCCGACUGCACCUGAAUGCACCAAUGACGUUAAUUAGAGCUUUUGAUUGUAUUUAGUUAGGAUUUGAAGAAGCUUUUAAGACUUUCCCUGAUGCCAGAGGAGAAGACAGCAGCUUUGUACCUUUGCGGUAAGAAGACUGGCCGUUUCUCAGUACGUAACUGUCCGUACUUGCCUUCUCACGUACUGGCGAAACGUCAUCAUCCAGACUGCAUAGGACCAGACCAGUGAGCAUAAAUAUGAAUCUGUAGAAUGGACCAUAGAUAUGAAUCAGUAGAUGGGACACACCCUUUUGAGUUGCGUGCUAUGGCGAGGCUAAGCUAGUGGGGGCAAAGUUUCAGUGCAUUCUGUUGAUGUAGACGGUGUGAAACCAGAAACAAGUAUGCCGCUUCACUGUGCUGCACAUAAUUGCACACUAUGCCAUAAGAUUGAGACAAGAAAACGCGGAAUGACUUUUCAUAGAGCAAGAAUAGUUUUUGGCUCUUUUUUCAUUAUUAAAUCUUGUUGAGAGCUUCCAGUCUAUGAGAGCUAACUAGUUAGCCACUAGCAAAACACUUAACGCGAGCUAGCAGCUUGACAACUAUGAAGGUAUUUCAGGUGCAAAAUGUUUGAGCACCUGUAACAUCGAAUUUUUAAUUGUGUACAUUGAAUUUGUAUGUGUAUCAGCAAAUCUGAUUUCCCAAACUCUACGAGUUGUGUACUUGUAAAAUAAUUUCUUGUAUGUGUCGAUUUUUUCUUCCCACAAAUACAACACAAAAAUACACAUUCACAAAAUCGUAAUUCCAGGUGCAUAAAUCCUUCUCUACAAGUCACAUAUUUCAACACUGACACGCUCACAUUUUGCACCUAUUGUUGCAGCACACUAAGUGAAAAACAUACUUGUGCACCUGUAUUGUACGAAGUGAAGUUGAGGUGAGAAUUUGAAUAUGUGCAAAUCUGAAUGUGAACUUGUGCAAUAAGUAUGUGAAAUAAUAUACCACGAAAAUAGCUGUGUCCUCUAACACACGAUCACAAAUUGCUACUUACAACCACUCGAAUCCUGCCCAUGAGUCACACAUUCUCUGUUUUCUACAGGUGCAAAUCAGAAAUCGUACUUUCGGUCCCGCUGAGAUAUUUGGUGCAAAACUACAAAACGAUCUGAUCUAUGUACACACGUGGACAAAAUUGUUGGUACCCCUCAGUUAAAGAAGGAAAAACCCACAAUUCUCACUGAAAUCACUUGAAACUCACAAAAGUAACAAUAAAUAAAAAUUUAUUGAAAAUUAAAUAAUCAAAAACAGCCAUUACUUUUGAAUUGUUGAUUAACAUAAUUAUUUUAAAAAAACAAACUAAUGAAACAGGCCUGGACAAAAAUGAUGGUACCUCUAUAAAAGAUUGAAAACUAUUUGACCAGAGUGACAUGAUUAACUCAGGUGUGUCAUUUAAUUGACAUCACAGGUGUUUCCAAACUCAUAAUCAGUCAGUCUGCCUAUUUAAAGGGAGACAAGUAGUCACCCUGCUGUUUGGUGAAAAGGUGUGUACCACACUGAACAUGGACAACAGAAAGCGAAGGAGAGAAUUGUCCCAGGACAUCCGAAAAAAAAUUAUAGACAAACAUCUUAAAGGUAAAGGCUAUAAGACCAUCUCUAAACAGCUUGAAGUUCCUGUGACAACAGUGGCUCAUAUUAUUCAGAAGUUCAAGACCCACGGGACAGUAGCCAACCUCCCUGGACGUGGCCGCAAGAGGAAAAUUGAUGACAAAUUGAAGAGACGGAUCGUUCGAAUUGUAUCCAAAGAGCCCAGAGCAACCUCCAAAGAAAUUAAAGGUGAACUCCAAGGCCAAGGUACAUCAGUGUCAGAUCGCACCAUUCGUCGUUGUUUGAGCCAAAGUGGACUUCAUGGGAGACCACCAAGGAGGACACCACUGCUGAAAAAAACUCAUAAAAAAGCAAGACUGGAAUUUGCAAAAAUGCAUGUUGACAAGCCACAAAGCUUCUGGAGAAUGUCCUUUGGACAGAUGAGACCAAACUGGAGCUUUUUGUAAGGCACAUCAACUCUAUGUUCAUAGACUCAAAAACCAAGCAUACGAAGAAAAGAACACUGUCCCUACGGUGAAACAUGGAGAAGGCUCAGUAAUGUUUUGGGGCUGCUUUGCUGCAUCUGGCACAGGGUGUCUUGAAAGUGUGCAAGGUACGAUGAAAUCUGAAGACUAUCAAGGCAUUCUGGAGAGAAAUGUGCUGCCUAGUGUCAGAAAGCUUGGUCUCAGUCGCAGGUCAUGGGUCUUCCAACAGGACAACGAUCCAAAACACACAGCCAAAAACAGCCAAGAAUGGCUGAGAGAAAAGCGUUGGACUAUUCUAAAGUGGCCUUCUAUGAGCCCAGAUCUGAAUCCCA